AGGCGCCCCCGUGUCGAUCCCCUAGGACUCUGGUGGGGCGCGGUGGGGGCGGAGUCUGUUGCCAGGGCAACCCGGGGUGGCGGGCCCUGGGUCCAUCUUUCCUUUUUUUUCCGGUUCGCUCCGUGUGCUCGGCUUUCCUCACUCCGGUUGCCAGAAGAAUGCACACACCACGUCACCGUUCUGCAUCCUCUUCUCUCCUUAGUUUGCUUGUUUCUCCAAGGUCCACACUUCCCAAGCGAGGAGUUUGUACUUCCCUUUCCUGCCGAUGAGCGGCCACGGCUGGAUUCUGAGCCGGACCUGUUUUUUGGAGAGAUUGAUCUGGCGCCGGUGGGGACACAGCCAAAGGCAGGGAGGCCACCUGGGAAGCCCCUAGAGAUAACGGUGGCCCAAAUGAAGACAACACAGUGGGAAUUGCUGGGGCGGGGAUGCCAGGAAGAGGCAGAGAGAAGCCUAGGGAAUGCAGAGUCUGGGAUGGCUCGCGGUCCUGAGGAGGGACACACAGAGAUUUGGGAGGGAAAUCUCACUAGCCCCUUGAAUUCGGGUGUUCUGAUUCAAAAGCUGAUGCACUCCACCCCCCCUCCCCCACUGCUCCAUCACAAACUCUAGGAAUAAACUCCUAUGAAGGACGUCUGACUGUUAGCCG
rnacentral:lncRNA from 1 species